rnacentral:lncRNA from 1 species
UUUCUCGCAUUGCAACCUAAUUCUCUCUCUCUCUCUCUAAAAUUCCAAAAGGAGAGGUUUUAUCCUAUUUUUUUUUUGAUAAAUAUGUGACAUUGAAGGGGAGAAAAAUAGUGAGUAGGAUGAGGAGCAAGAAAAGGUAAGUUUCUGUUUUUUUUUUCUUCUACAGAUUUUUUUUUGACGGUUUCCCUACAAUGAUUAUGGGCUGCAAUAAGCUCCAAGAUUGACUAUUUUUUUUCUCAAUGGAUAUGGCUGUCUCUUGCCAAUUUUUUUUUUUUAAACCGACAAAACAUCUCUUGCCAAUUCUUUUUAACGCAUAUGGCUGCGUCUUGCCAAAAUUACUUCUUGGAUCAUGGGCUGCACACUCUAAUGGCUAUGUAAUAAGUAUGUGCCUCAUUCCCUUGUUAUUUUUGGUUGCGAUGCAGUACUAU